UGGUGAGCCAGUUGGACCGCUCGGUCCACCGCUGGGUAGCUAAGUGCGGCAGGGAUAACCGCUGAAAGCAUCUAAGCGGGAAGCCCACCUCGAGAUGAGCAUUGCUUUGAGACCCCCGAAAGACUAUCGGGUUGAUAGGUCGCACGUGUAAGUGCCGAAAUGCAUUCAGCGAAGCGAUACUAACGGUCGAAGAUUUGACCG
rnacentral:rRNA from 1 species